rfam:Gossypium hirsutum cultivar TM-1 chromosome 12, whole genome shotgun sequence
AAACCAUGAUAAGGACAUCUUCGUAAAGGAUCCUUAAAUCUCUCCAAUGUAUCAUAAAGGAUCCUUAAACCUCAAGCUCUGAUUGGGAAAACGAAGAAAUAUCAUUCCUUAAAUU